GACGAACGCUGGCGGCGUGCUUAACACAUGCAAGUCGAACGAAGUGGCGAACGGGUGAGUAACGCGGAAUAAACCUGCCCUUCAGAGGGGGACAACAGUGGGAAAGGACUGCUAAUACGGAAUACGGAGGGAGGGGAGUGCGUCUGAUUAGCUAGUUGGCGGGGUAACGGCCCACCAAGGCGAUGAUCAGUAGCCGGUCUGAGAGGAUGAACGGCCACAUUGGGACUGAGACACGGCCCAGACUCCUACGGGAGGCAGCAGUGGGGAAUCUUCCGCAAUGGACGAAAGUCUGACGGAGCAACGCCGCGUGAGUGAUGACGGCCUUCGGGUUGUAAAGCUCUGUUAAUCGGGACGCGGUACCGGAAUAGAAAGCCACGGCUAACUACGUGCCAGCAGCCGCGGUAAUUC
rnacentral:rRNA from 1 species